UGUCACAGACCAGGGUCAUUUCUGAGCCCUCUUGGUCUCUCCAUAGGUUGUAGAGUAUCCGGAGUACUUGGAUCUUCGCCCAUACAUGUCUCAGGCAGAUGGAGAAGCACUCCUCUACUCCUUAUAUGCUGUCCUGGUGCACAGUGGUGUCAGCUGUCAUGGAGGACACUAUUUCUGCUACACAAAGGCCAGCAAUGGAUUGUGGUACCGGAUGGACGAUGAAUCUGUGCAGCUGUGUUCCAUUGACACAGUUCUCAGGCAGCAAGCCUACCUGCUGUUCUAUGCCAGAUGCUCUGAUCUGAGAAUUGGAGAAAGGGCUUCUUCCUCACUGGCACCAUCACAUGCCCCUUCCUUCCUCAGUCAGUGUGUGACCAGCAGCAAGCAGGCGGGCUCUGUUGGACCACAGGCUCUGACUGGUAGGACUAAGGGCAUGAAGGACACUGGCAGGGAGCGGUCCCGGAGCAGAUUCCCUCUGUGGGGCAGGGAUCUCCGCAGCUGCUCUGGGGACACCACAGACUAUGAGGACGCUUCAGAGAGAAGAACUGGUCCUCCAAGUCGUGACCGUGGUCCUAGGGAUAGCACAGCUGCAAGGCCUUCCAAGAGGAUCUGCCGGUGGGCUC